GUGCUGUAAUGGCGCUAAUUCGGAAGGUAGUGCAUCCUUCCAGAUGGCCGAGAUUCUUCAGAAUACUUUCCUCAAAGGUUUCGUGUUCGAAUCCUGAGUACACCAUCUAUUGAUGCAGCGAAGGCUAUAUUAGUAAUGGUUGUGAAAAGUGGCGGUAUCGUUCGAGGGGAGCAUCAUCCAGCAGAACACCGUCCGGCUUGGGUAUGUGAAUACGAGGAAACCUAGGGGUCUGAAUGGUCUUGGAAAGAAGGUAGCUAUCAACCGACUUU
rnacentral:SRP_RNA from 1 species